CCUACGGGCGGCUGCAGUGGGGAAUAUUGCACAAUGGGGGAAACCCUGAUGCAGCGACGCCGCGUGAGCGAAGAAGUAUUUCGGUAUGUAAAGCUCUAUCAGCAGGGAAGAAAAUGACGGUACCUGACUAAGAAGCUCCGGCUAAAUACGUGCCAGCAGCCGCGGUAAUACGUAUGGAGCAAGCGUUAUCCGGAUUUACUGGGUGUAAAGGGAGCGUAGGCGGCGGGGCAAGUCUGAUGUGAAAACCCGGGGCUCAACCCCGGGACUGCAUUGGAAACUGUCCUGCUAGAGUGUCGGAGGGGUAAGUGGAAUUCCUAGUGUAGCGGUGAAAUGCGUAGAUAUUAGGAGGAACACCGGUGGCGAAGGCGGCUUACUGGACGACAACUGACGCUGAGGCUCGAAAGCGUGGGGAGCAAACAGGAUUAGAUACCCGUGUAGUC
rnacentral:rRNA from 1 species